rnacentral:rRNA from 1 species
GAUGAACGCUGGCGGCGUGCUUAACACAUGCAAGUCGAACGGAAAGGCCCAAGCUUGCUUGGGUCCUCGAGUGGCGAACGGGUGAGUAACACGUGGGUGAUCUGCCCUGCACUUCGGGAUAAGCCUGGGAAACUGGGUCUAAUACCGGAUAGGACCACAUUUUGGAUGGUGUGGUGGAAAGUUUUUCGGUGUGGGAUGAGCUCGCGGCCUAUCAGCUUGUUGGUGGGGUAAUGGCCUACCAAGGCGUCGACGGGUAGCCGGCCUGAGAGGGUGUACGGCCACAUUGGGACUGAGAUACGGCCCAGACUCCUACGGGAGGCAGCAGUGGGGAAGAUUGCACAAGGGGCGCAAGCCUGAUGCAGCGACGCCGCGUGGGGGAUGACGGCCUUCGGGUUGUAAACUCCUUUCGCUAGGGACGAAGCGUUAUGUGACGGUACCUGGAGAAGAAGCACCGGCUAACUACGUG